rnacentral:rRNA from 1 species
GAUGAACGCUGGCGGUAUGCUUAACACAUGCAAGUCGAACGGACUCUUCGGAGUUAGUGGCGGACGGGUGAGUAACGCGUGAGAAUCUUGCUUUGGGUUCGGGACAACCACUGGAAACGGUGGCUAAUACCGGAUGUGCCGAGAGGUAAAAGAGAAAUUGCCUGAAGAUGAGCUCGCGUCUGAUUAGCUAGUUGGUGAGGUAAAGGCUCACCAAGGCAGCGAUCAGUAGCUGGUCUGAGAGGAUGACCAGCCACACUGGGACUGAGACACGGCCCAGACUCCUACGGGAGGCAGCAGUGGGGAAUUUUCCGCAAUGGGCGAAAGCCUGACGGAGCAAUACCGCGUGAGGGAAGAAGGCUCUUGGGUUGUAAACCUCUUUUCUUAGGGAAGAACAAAAUGACGGUACCUAAGGAAUCAGCAUCGGCUAACUCCGUG